rnacentral:rRNA from 1 species
UACGGGGGGGGCAAGCGUUGUUCGGAAUUACUGGGCGUAAAGGGCUCGUAGGCGGCCAACUAAGUCAGACGUGAAAUCCCCGGGCUCAACCCGGGAACUGCGUCCGAUACUGGCAGGCUUGAAUCCGGGAGAGGGAUGCGGAAUUCCAGGUGUAGCGGUGAAAUGCGUAGAUAUCUGGAGGAACACCGGUGGCGAAGGCGGCAUCCUGGACCAACACUGACGCUGAGGAGCGAAAGCCAGGGGAGCAAACGGG